GGUGCUUGCACCCACCGAGAAAGAGGAGUGGCGGACGGGUGAGUAACACGUGGGCAACCUGCCCAUCAGAGGGGGAUAACACUUGGAAACAGGUGCUAAUACCGCAUAAUUCUUUUUGUCGCCUGACAGAAAGAUAAAAGACGCUUUCGGGUGUCACUGAUGGAUGGGCCCGCGCUGCAUUAGCUAGUUGGUGGGGUAACGGCUCACCAAGGCCAUGAUGCAUAGCCGACCUGAGAGGGUGAUCGGCCACACUGGGACUGAGACACGGCCCAGACUCCUACGGGAGGCAGCAGUAGGGAAUCUUCGGCAAUGGACGAAAGUCUGACCGAGCAACGCCGCGUGAGUGAAGAAGGUUUUCGGAUCGUAAAACUCUGUUGUUAGAGAAGAACAAGUGAGAGAGUAACUGUUCUCACCUUGACGGUAUCUAACCAGAAAGCCACGGCUAACUACGUGCCAGCAGCCGCGGUAAUACGUAGGUGGCAAGCGUUGUCCGGAUUUAUUGGGCGUAAAGCGAGCGCAGGCGGUUCCUUAAGUCUGAUGUGAAAGCCCCCGGCUCAACCGGGGAAGGUCAUUGGAAACUGGGGAACUUGAGUGCAGAAGAGGAGAGUGGAAUUCCAUGUGUAGCGGUGAAAUGCGUAGAUAUAUGGAGGAACACCAGUGGCGAAGGCGACU
rnacentral:rRNA from 1 species